rnacentral:rRNA from 1 species
CCCUUAGAUGUUCUGGGCUGCACGCGCGCUACACUGAUGCACUCAACGAGUUUACGACCUUGCCCGAUAGGGUUGGGUAAUCUUUUUAAAAUGCAUCGUGAUGGGGAUAGAUUAUUGCAAUUAUUAAUCUUCAACGAGGAAUUCCUAGUAAGCGCGAGUCAUCAGCUCGUGCUGAUUACGUCCCUGCCCUUUGUACACACCGCCCAUCGCUCCUACCGAUUGAGUGCUCAGGUGAAUAAUUCGGACUGCAGCAAUGUUUGGAUCCCGAACGUUGCAGCGGAAAGUUUAGUGAACCUUAUCACUUAGAGGAAGGAGAAGUCGUAACA